rnacentral:rRNA from 1 species
UUCCCCUUCGGGGGGACAGGGUGACAGGUGGUGCAUGGUUGUCGUCAGCUCGUGUCGCGAGAUGUUGGGUUAAGUCCCGCAACGAGCGCAACCCUCGACCUUAGUUGCCAGCAUUCAGUUGGGCACUCUAAGGUGACUGCCGGCUAAAAGUCGGAGGAAGGUGGGGAUGACGUCAAAUCAUCAUGCCCCUUAUGACCUGGGCUACACACGUGCUACAAUGGGCGGUACAAAGGGUCGCGAACCCGCGAGGGGGGAGCCAAUCCCAAAAAGCCGCUCUCAGUUCGGAUUGCAGGCUGCAACUCGCCUGCAUGAAGCCGGAAUCGCUAGUAAUCGCGGAUCAGCAUGCCGCGGUGAAUACGUUCCCGGGCCUU